rnacentral:rRNA from 1 species
AGAGUUUGAUCAUGGCUCAGAUUGAACGCUGGCGGCAUGCCUUACACAUGCAAGUCGAACGGCAGCACGGGGGCAACCCUGGUGGCGAGUGGCGAACGGGUGAGUAAUACAUCGGAACGUGUCCUGUAGUGGGGGAUAGCCCGGCGAAAGCCGGAUUAAUACCGCAUACGCUCUACGGAGGAAAGGGGGGGAUCUUCGGACCUCCCGCUACAGGGGCGGCCGAUGGCAGAUUAGCUAGUUGGUGGGGUAAAGGCCUACCAAGGCGACGAUCUGUAGCUGGUCUGAGAGGACGACCAGCCACACUGGGACUGAGACACGGCCCAGACUCCUACGGGAGGCAGCAGUGGGGAAUUUUGGACAAUGGGCGAAAGCCUGAUCCAGCAAUGCCGCGUGUGUGAAGAAGGCCUUCGGGUUGUAAAGCACUUUUGUCCGGAAAGAAAACGCUCUGGUUAAUACCCGGGGCGGAUGACGGUACCGGAAGAAUAAGCACCGGCUAACUACGUGCCAGCAGCCGCGGUAAUACGUAGGGUGCAAGCGUUAAUCGGAAUUACUGGGCGUAAAGCGUGCGCAGGCGGUCCGCUAAGACAGAUGUGAAAUCCCCGGGCUUAACCUGGGAACUGCAUUUGUGACUGGCGGGCUAGAGUAUGGCAGAGGGGGGUAGAAUUCCACGUAGCAGUGAAAUGCGUAGAGAUGUGGAGGAAUACCGAUGGCGAAGGCAGCCCCCUGGGCCAAUACUGACGCUCAUGCACGAAAGCGUGGGGAGCAAACAGGAUUAGAUACCCCCGUAGUCC